rnacentral:misc_RNA from 1 species
GAUGAAGAACGCAGUGAAAUGCGAUACGUAAUGUGAAUUGCAGAAUUCAGUGAAUCAUCGAGUCUUUGAACGCACAUUGCGCCCCCUGGUAUUCCGGGGGGCAUGCCUGUCCGAGCGUCAUUUCACCACUCAAGCCUGGCUUGGUGUUGGGCGACGUCCUCUUUGGGGACGCGCCUCGAAACGCUCGGCGGCGUGGCACCGGCUUUAAGCGUAGCAGAAUCUUUCGCUUUGGAAGUCGGGGCCCCGUCUGCCGGAAGACCUGCUCGCAAGGUUGACCUCGGAUCAGGCAGGGAUACCCGCUGAACUUAAGCAUAUCAAUAAGCGGAGGA